UAUCUGGUUGAUUCUGCCAGUAGUCAUAU
rnacentral:rRNA from 1 species